AUAAAGGAUUUAGACUACAAGCCCAAAGUGGAAAUAAGGUAAACCUAUAAAAGAAGUUAUAGGUAGGAUAAUUAAAGAUAAACCUAUAAGAGAGAUUAUAGGUACAAUAUAGAGGGAUAAUAGGAAACAGGAUUCAGGAAAUAUGCCCCAGAACAUCAUAUAAAGAAACAACUAAACAGAAAUAUAAUGAAUACUUAAAUAGGGUUGUAGUUGUUCAGUCUCUUUGGAUAAGAGGUUGUAUUGUAGUAGCAGG